GGCGGACGAGUGAGUAAUGCGUGAGAAUCUACCCAUGAGUGGGGGACAACCCGGGGAAACUCGGGCUAAUACCGCAUACGCCCUACGGGGUAAAGCAGGGGACCUUCGGGCCUUGCGCUGAUGGAUGAGCUCGCGUCGGAUUAGCUUGUUGGUGAGGUAAAGGCUCACCAAGGCGACGAUCCGUAGCUGGUCUGAGAGGAUGAUCAGCCACACCGGGACUGAGACACGGCCCGGACUCCUACGGGAGGCAGCAGUGGGGAAUCUUGGACAAUGGGGGCAACCCUGAUCCAGCCAUGCCGCGUGUGUGAAGAAGGCCUUCGGGUUGUAAAGCACUUUCAGCAGGGAGGAAGGCUUACCCCUAAUACGGGUGAGUACUUGACGUUACCUGCAGAAGAAGCACCGGCUAAUUUCGUGCCAGCAGCCGCGGUAAUACGAAAGGUGCAAGCGUUAAUCGGAAUUACUGGGCGUAAAGCGCGCGUAGGCGGUGUGUUAAGUCGGAUGUGAAAGCCCAGGGCUCAACCUUGGAAUUGCAUCCGAUACUGGCACGCUGGAGUGCAGUAGAGGGAGGUGGAAUUUCCGGUGUAGCGGUGAAAUGCGUAGAGAUCGGAAGGAACACCAGUGGCGAAGGCGGCCUCCUGGACUGACACUGACGCUGAGGUGCGAAAGCGUGGGGAGCAAACAGGAUUAGAUACCCUAGUAGUCCACGCUGUAAACGAUGUCUACUAGCCGUCGGGGUCCUUAGUGACUUUGGUGGCGCAGCUAACGCGAUAAGUAGACCGC
rnacentral:rRNA from 1 species